GACGAACGUUGGCGGCGUGCUUAACACAUGCAAGUCGAACGGAAAGGCCCUGCUUUUGUGGGGUGCUCGAGUGGCGAACGGUUGAGUAACACGUGAGUAACCUGCCCUUGACUUUGGGAUAACUUCAGGAAACUGGGGCUAAUACCGGAUAGGAGCUCCUGCUGCAUGGUGGGGGUUGGAAAGUUUCGGCGGUUGGGGAUGGACUCGCGGCUUAUCAGCUUGUUGGUGGGGUAGUGGCUUACCAAGGCUUUGACGGGUAGCCGGCCUGAGAGGGUGACCGGCCACAUUGGGACUGAGAUACGGCCCAGACUCCUACGGGAGGCAGCAGUGGGGAAUAUUGCACAAUGGGCGGAAGCCUGAUGCAGCAACGCCGCGUGCGGGAUGACGGCCUUCGGGUUGUAAACCGCUUUCGCCUGUGACGAAGCGUGAGUGACGGUAAUGGGUAAAGAAGCACCGGCUAACUACGUGCCAGCAGCCGCGGUGAUACGUAGGGUGCGAGCGUUGUCCGGAUUUAUUGGGCGUAAAGGGCUCGUAGGUGGUUGAUCGCGUCGGAAGUGUAAUCUUGGGGCUUAACCCUGAGCGUGCUUUCGAUACGGGUUGACUUGAGGAAGGUAGGGGAGAAUGGAAUUCCUGGUGGAGCGGUGGAAUGCUCAGAUAUCAGGAGGAACACCAGUGGCGAAGGCGGUUCUCUGGGCCUUUCCUGACGCUGAGGAGCGAAAGCGUGGGGAGCGAACAGGCUUAGAUACCCUGGUAGUCCACGCUGUAAACGGUGGGUACUAGGUGUGGGGUCCAUUCCACGGGUUCCGUGCCGUAGCUAACGCUUUAAGUACCCCGCCUGGGGAGUACGGCCGCAAGGCUAAAACUCAAAGGAAUUGACGGGGCCCCGCACAAGCGGCGGAGCAUGCGGAUUAAUUCGAUGCAACGCGUAGAACCUUACCUGGGUUUGACAUGGAUCGGGAGUGCUCAGAGAUGGGUGUGCCUCUUUUGGGGUCGGUUCACAGGUGGUGCAUGCCUGUCGUCAGCUCGUGUCGUGAGAUGUUGGGUUAAGUCCCGCAACGAGCGCAACCCUUGUUCACUGUUGCCAGCACGUUAUGGUGGGGACUCAGUGGAGACCGCCGGGGUCAACUCGGAGGAAGGUGGGGAUGACGUCAAGUCAUCAUGCCCCUUAUGUCCAGGGCUUCACGCAUGCUACAAUGGCUGGUACAGAGAGUGGCGAGCCUGUGAGGGUGAGCGAAUCUCGGAAAGCCGGUCUCAGUUCGGAUUGGGGUCUGCAACUCGACCUCAUGAAGUCGGAGUCGCUAGUAAUCGCAGAUCAGCAACGCUGCGGUGAAUACGUUCCCGGGGCU
rnacentral:rRNA from 1 species